rnacentral:pre_miRNA from 2 species
GGCUUCUCUACAGUGUUGCCUUGUGGCGUGGAGUUCAAGCAGCAUUGUACAGGGCUAUCA